rnacentral:tRNA from 1 species
GUCUUUCUAGUAUUAACACCAAUACAAGUGACUUCCAAUCAUUCAAUCUUGGUUAAACCCCAAGGAAAGAUA